GCACAUAGCUCAGUUGGUUAGAGCACCACCUUGACAUGGUGGGGGUCGUUGGUUCGAGUCCAAUUGUGCCUACCA
rnacentral:tRNA from 1 species